AUCUUUAAAAAAGGCUCUGAUUGGCUCAGCGCGGCACACUGAUGCACAACUGUCAUUCAACGCACCUCAUCUGAGCAUGAAGAGUUCUUCAUCGAGUCUGCCCUCUGGUACUGCUCCUUGGGGAAACUGGACAUCACCCUGAAGGCCCUGCAGAGAGUGGCCCAGAUCGACAGGAAGCAGAGAGAAGGUGCCAAACUGAGUGUGGAGGCAGAGAGAUCUGAGCAUGACGGCCGCCUUGGCCAACACAGGCAGCAUCCUGAGCCCGCUGGUGAGCACGACCUCAGAGGUUUACCCUUCCCUGCCUCUCUGCAUCUCUGGAGCAGCCCUUGUGGCUGCCUGUCCCAUCACUGUCCUCCUGCCGGAGACUCUGGGGCAGCCACUGCCCAACACAGUGCAGGACCUGGAGAGAAGGUGGAAAGAGAAACCCGGGCAGAAGCAGCAGGAGCAGCAGAUGGUUCCCCUCCUGCCUCCCGAGGACUGAGAAAGGGCAAAGCACGGACGGAGCCCCCGCAUCUCCUGGAGGUCCUCACCCAGAGGAGGGGGAGAGGAACGGCAGCCAGGGGAAGACGGGAGGGACCGCUGCUGGACCUGUAAUUCCAGAGGACACUUCCCCUGGGUCUCCGAUCCUAGCCAGACCCACCCUCCCAUUUCAUUGAAAGUAGCUACACACAACUUCUCCCAUUCUUUCCACCAUGGCCGCUCCACAUCAGCUAACCCUUGGUGCAAAAAUUCACAUGGCAGAGUUCCCACUGCGGUGCAAUGGGAUUGGUGGCGUCUCUGCAGCACCAGGAUGCAGGUUCGAUCCCCAGCCCAGCACAAUGGGUUAAAGGACCCAGUCUUGCCACCGUGGCAUUGGUUGCAGCUGUGGCUAGGAUCUGAUCCUGGCCUGGGAACGCCGCAUGUCUUGGGGCAGCCAAAAAACAAACAAACAAAAAAAAAACACAACAACUCAUUCAGUGAUCAUUGGUGUAGAAAAUCCAGUGGAAUCUACACAAACACUACUUCAACAACAAGGAGUUUAGGAAAGUGGUAGGGAGUUCGCGUUGUGGCUCAGCGUAAACGAAUCUGACUAGUAACCAUGAGGACACAAGUUCGAUCCCUGGCCUUACUCAGUGAGUUAAGGAUCCGGCAUGGCUGUGGCUUUGGCGUAGCCAGGAGCUGUAGCUCCGAUUGGAACCCUAGCCUGGGAACCUCCAUAUGCCACGGAUGAGGCCCUAAAUAAAAAAAGAGAGAGAAAGUGGUGGAUUAUAAUA
rnacentral:lncRNA from 1 species